rnacentral:rRNA from 1 species
AGUCUGGUGCCAGCAGCCGCGGUAAUUCCAGCUCCAAUAGCGUAUAUUAAAGUUGUUGCAGUUAAAAAGCUCGUAGUUGGAUUUCUGUUAAUAAUUUAUAUAAAAUAUUUUGAUGAAUAUUUAUAUAAUAUUAACAUAAUUCAUAUUACUAUAUWUUUUAGUAUAUGAAAUUUUACUUUGAGAARAUUAGAGUGCUUAAAGCAGGCAUAUGCCUUGAAUACUCCAGCAUGGAAUAAUAUUAAAGAUUUUUAUCUUUCUUAUUGGUUCUAAGAUAAGAAUAAUGAUUAAUAGGGACAGUUGGGGGCAUUUGUAUUUAACAGUCAGAGGUGAAAUUCUUAGAUUUGUUAAAGACAAACUAAUGCGAAAGCAUUUGCCAAGGAUGUUUUCAUUAAUCAAGAACGAAAGUUAGGGGAUCGAAGACGAUCAGAUACCGUCGUAGUCUUAACCAUAAACUAUGCCAACUAGAGAUUGGAGGUUGUUCCUUACUCCUUC